rnacentral:misc_RNA from 1 species
GAUGAAGAACGCAGCGAAAUGCGAUACGUAAUGUGAAUUGCAAAUUCAGUGAAUCAUCGAGUCUUUGAACGCACAUUGCGCCCCCUGGUAUUCCGGGGGGCAUGCCUGUCCGAGCGUCAUUGCUGCCCUCAAGCACGGCUUGUGUGUUGGGCCCCGUCCUCCGAUUCCGGGGGACGGGCCCGAAAGGCAGCGGCGGCACCGCGUCCGGUCCUCGAGCGUAUGGGGCUUCGUCACCCGCUCUGUAGGCCCGGCCGGCGCUUGCCGAUCAACCCAAAUUUUUAUCCAGGUUGACCUCGGAUCAGGUAGGGAUACCCGCUGAACUUAAGCAUAUCAAUAAGCGGAGGA